rnacentral:rRNA from 1 species
UAAUACGGAGGGUGCAAGCGUUAUCCGGAUUCACUGGGUUUAAAGGGUGCGUAGGUGGGUUGGUAAGUCAGUGGUGAAAUCCCCGAGCUUAACUUGGGAACUGCCAUUGAUACUAUCAGUCUUGAAUAUUGUGGAGGUUAGCGGAAUAUGUCAUGUAGCGGUGAAAUGCUUAGAUAUGACAUAGAACACCAAUUGCGAAGGCAGCUGGCUACGCAUAUAUUGACACUGAGGCACGAAAGCGUGGGGAUCAAACAGGAUUAGAUACCCUGGUAGUCCACGCCCUAAACUAUGGAUACUCGACAUCAGCGAUACACUGUUGGUGUCUGAGCGAAAGCAUUAAGUAUCCCACCUGGGAAGUACGAUCGCAAGAUUG